GAAUGCUGACAUAAGUAACGAUAAAGCGGGUGAAAAGCCCGCUCGCCGGAAGACCAAGGGUUCCUGUCCAACGUUAAUCGGGGCAGGGUGAGUCGACCCCUAAGGCGAGGCCGAAAGGCGUAGUCGAUGGGAAACGGGUUAAUAUUCCCGUACUUGGUGUUACUGCGAAGGGGGGACGGAGAAGGCUAUGUUGGCCGGGCGACGGUUGUCCCGGUUUAAGCGUGUAGGUGUGUGUUCCAGGUAAAUCCGGUUCACUUUAACACUGAGGCGUGAUGACGAGGCACUACGGUGCUGAAGUAACAAAUGCCCUGCUUCCAGGAAAAGCCUCUAAGCAUCAGGUAACAUCAAAUCGUACCCCAAACCGACACAGGUGGUCAGGUAGAGAAUACCAAGGCGCUUGAGAGAACUCGGGUGAAGGAACUAGGCAAAAUGGUGCCGUAACUUCGGGAGAAGGCACGCUGACACGUAGGUGAAGUGAUUUACUCACGGAGCUGAAGUCAGUCGAAGAUACCAG
rnacentral:rRNA from 1 species